rnacentral:tRNA from 1 species
GCGCGUGUAGCUCAGUUGGAUUAGAGCGGCCGCCUCCUAAGCGGCAGGCCCCCGGUUCGAGUCCGGGCACGCGCGCCA